AUUGAACGCUGGCGGCAUGCCUUACACAUGCAAGUCGAACGGCAGCGCGGGAGCAAUCCUGGCGGCGAGUGGCGAACGGGUGAGUAAUAUAUCGGAACGUGCCCUGUAGCGGGGGAUAACCUAUCGAAAGAUGGACUAAUACCGCAUACGCUCUACGGAGGAAAGCGGGGGUCGCAAGACCUCGCACUAUAGGAGCGGCCGAUAUCGGAUUAGCUAGUUGGCGGGGAAAAGCCCACCAAGGCGACGAUCCGUAGCUGGUCUGAGAGGAUGAUCAGCCACACUGGAACUGAGACACGGUCCAGACUCCUACGGGAGGCAGCAGUGGGAAUUUGGACAAUGGGCGCAAGCCUGAUCCAGCCAUGCCGCGUGAGUGAAGAAGGCC
rnacentral:rRNA from 1 species